AAUGUGAUGUACCUAGUAAUAUUAGUGAUUAAUAUGAGGCUAACCGAGUUAGUUAAAAUUCUAAGUAUAUAUGUGAUUAUGACAAUAUGUGCUUAUUUCUUGACCAAGUCACGUGCCAGCCGUCGCGGUAAUACGUGGAAGAUCAGUGUUAUUCAUCUUUAUCAGGUUUAAAGGGUACCUAGACGGUUAAUUAAGCUUUAGUAGGAACUAAUUAACUAGAGUUUAAUGUAAGAAUGAUUGAGUACGGUGAGUGUAGAGAUAAAAUUCUGUCAUACCACUUAGGAACUGGUAAAAGCGAAGGCAACUUUCUAUGUAAAAACUGACGUUAAGGGACGAAGGCUCGUAUCAAAUAACAGGAUUAGAUACCCCAGCAUUGUGGGCAGACAAUGAUGAGUGUCAUAUGCAAGAGAUAAAAAAAAAUAUUUUGUGUAUAAAUGAAAGUGUAAGCACUCCACCUCAAGAGUAACGUGGCAACAUGGGAACUGAAAUCAUUAGACCGUUUCUGAAACUCGUAGUGAAGUAUGUUGUUUAAUUAGAUGGUGCACAAAUAACCUUACCACAAUUUGUAUAACUAUAGUACAUAAUAAUAAUAUAGUUACAAGCGUUGCACGGCUGUCUUUAGUCUAUGUUGUGAAACUGUGGUUAGAUCCAUUAAAUAGACGUAAACCCUUACUUUAUUUAUUAUAAAGUAGUUCGCCG
rnacentral:rRNA from 1 species